GCCCCAUACCAUACUCGCAGCUUGUACAGCUUGUGGGCACCUUCCAUUUGAUAGAAACAGCCUGUUUCCUUUACUUAAAGCCUAGCAGCUGUGUCAGCUGUGGAGGCGUGUGAAGCUAUGUGUACAUACAUUGUGAGCGAGUAGGUAAACAACCCCACUUGACUGCUGCUGUCGCCUACGGGCACUUCCAAAGGUUAUGCUGAUUUCUUCUGCCUGCACCUUGUAAUUGUUGGGCCCACCAGGAUCUAGUCUGUCUCUGCCUUGUUGACAACAAUUAGCCCCACGUACUGAUUGUUGCUCGUUUGUUCAGUCCAGAAUCUGACUGGUUACACACUACUACUACUACGACGGGGACGGAACGGGUGCUGCUAUAAGGAGCUUCGCUCCUAAAAAAACAAAGCCUGGAAACGACUCAGCAUAUCGCCAUGGAAUGCCAAGAUAUUCAGCCAGCGAGACCUGUGGGGAGUGUCUACCUUCUAGAAGUGUUGGGAUUCAAGGAAGGUGAA